CAGUAGCCGCGGGAAUACAGAGGGUGCAAGCGUUAUCCGGAAUGAUUGGGCGUAAAGCGUCUGUAGGUGGCUUUUCAAGUCCGCCGUCAAAUCCCAGGGCUCAACCCUGGACAGGCGGUGGAAACUACCAAGCUGGAGUACGGUAGGGACAGAGGGAAUUUCCGGUGGAGCGGUGAAAUGCGUAGAUAUCGGAAGGAACACCUGUGGCGAAAGCGGCUCACUGGACCAUUUCUGACGCUGAUGCACGAAAGCUAGGGGAGCAAACAGGAUUAGAUACCCCUGUAGUCCCUGUCUCUUAUAC
rnacentral:rRNA from 1 species